rnacentral:lncRNA from 1 species
AUGGCUGCGAGCGCUCGGGCGGGGAGGGCGCCGGUGGGCGGCGAGCAGGGGCACGGCGCUGCGCAGCGCUGGAGAACCGCCGGGCCUUCCUUGCUCCUUCCUCGCUCCGGCAGCGACCUCCGUGUGGGAGAGAUGGGGUUGGAGGCGGCUGGAAGAGCGCCGUGGCACCGCAGCAGGUUCCUUAAGGUGCAGGAUGUGGAAGCACGGGGAAACCAGCGGUGCCAGGCGCUGGGAGGCGCCGUGCAGGCAAUGAACAGAGGCGUAGCAAAGAGCGCUCCGAGCGGCACUGCCCACACGCGAUCCAGCUCAGCGCUGAGGAAGGUGGCACAGCUAGAAAGCAAAAUCAUGAAUCGGAAGAAGCAGAUGGAAUUGCAAAACGCUGACUUCAGGCAGAAGCCUUUGGAUGAAGAAUCCCUCUCAUCUGCUUCCAGUCUUGAGCGCAGUGCAAGAGGCAAGAAAUAUCUGAAGAAUUACACUACAGCCAGUAGGAACACAGCCAUCAGUAAUGCCUGUCCUAUGGAAGAUGAAAGCAUCCAAAGCCCAAAAAAGAGUGGUACAGUUAAACAAAAGCUUGGUUUGGAUACAGGCAAAAAGGAAAAGAGAGAAUUCACGGAGAACUCUCUGGAGUUUCCCAGUGGAAAUGAGAAUCGGAGGGUUGGUACAAGUGAUUCUAAGUGGAGUGGAAAGAGUAAGGCUCCUGUUUCAUUAGGAACGUCUCCUCCGUCUCAUAAGGAAAUUUCACUGACAGAGGUAUCCAAAGCACCUGCUCUUCACAGCAAAGACUUAGAGAAGAAUGUUUUUGGUACAGUUGAUUUAUUGACACCUCCACCAGCCAGCAGAAACCUGUCAGCACUAUGUGGUAUGAAAUCUCAAUCACCAUCUUCUUCCAUGAAAGACAAUACUGUAAAAAUUACCUUGCCCAGAACAGGCAAUGCCAAGCAAACCCAACUAUCACUUGGAAGUGAUGGAAGUGAAAUAAAAUCUUUAGAUGAUUUAUUUUCAAAAGCAUCUGAUGCAGAAGAUUCAACCAGCGUAAGCUCAAAUGGUAAGCUUUCCCAAGUGGUGUCUUGA